rnacentral:rRNA from 1 species
UACAGGGGGGGCAAGCGUUGUUCGGAAUUACUGGGCGUAAAGGGCCAGUAGGCGGCCUGCUAAGUCCGACGUGAAAUCCCCAAGCUUAACUUGGGAACUGCGUCGGAUACUGGUGGGCUUGAAUUCGGGAGAGGGAUGCAGAAUUCCAGGUGUAGCGGUGAAAUGCGUAGAUAUCUGGAGGAAUACCGGUGGCGAAGGCGGCAUCCUGGACCGACAUUGACGCUGAACGGCGAAAGCUAGGGGAGCAAACGGG